ACGUGGCUGGGAGAGCUGCAGAAGUGCCGAGUCCCGGCCGGGGGCAGCCUCGCCGCCGCUCAGCUCGGGAAUCCCUGCCCCCCACCAGCACCUCAGUGGGGGAUACUGCAAGUUCAAGGUGGUUUAAGGCGUGAAUGAAUGAAGGAGCAAGCAGUAAGCCCCGACAGCAAGGCCACCACAGCCCUCGCCCCACAGGGACGCCUGAGCAAGGACCCAAGCAGGGGACAAGCAGGCUCACCCCGCCCUUGCGGGGCUGACCACGAGGCCCCGUCCGGUGGAACACGCCAUGACGCUUCAGGAGGCUCAUGUAGCUGGCGCCGUAUGGGACAGCGGGGGAGAGAGAAAAUGCACAGCCCAGGGAAUGUGGAGACAGGCCCAGCGCCAGGCAUGGGGGCCGGAAGGAGCAGCCGGGGAGCAGGGGGCAGGGCCUGGAGUCCCGCCUUGCAGGUCAGAGGUCAGAGGUCAGGGAAGGCCUGGGUGGGGGUGAAUGAACAGGCCCCCCAGUGAUGUCAGAGGGGCAGGCGGGGAAGGGUCCCGGAAGAGCACCCCGGGGAGUGUGUACAGGAAGGCAGGAGCCCGGAGGCGGGAAGGGGGGCCUGGUGUGUCCAGCGGGCAGCAGGAGGCCAGCAUGGCUGCCACUGGGGCAGUGGCAGUGGAUGGGUGGCCUGGGGCUGGGCUUCGGGCAGGGUCAGACCACGUCAGGCCUUGUAGGCCAGUGCCAGGGCUGCAGGUGUCCUGCUGAGGGGCACAGGCCUGGGCAGGCUGGCACGGCUAUAGCAGGGUCCUUAUGGCUUAUCUGCUGAGGGUGAGGGUGGAGGGCAGAGGCUGGAGCAUCAGGGGCCCUGCCCAGCUGCGGUGCCCUGGGGAGGGCUGCCCAGCUCUGGCUGUGCCUUGAAAGUUUGCCCGAAAGAUUCACUGUUGGAGCAGAUGUGGUCACAAGAGCAAGGGGGGA
rnacentral:lncRNA from 10 species